CAAGAGGAGUAUUGCUAUAUCACUUUGAGUAACCAGCAACCUCCACCACCCGCUGCAGGUACUUGCCAGUGGCCCAGAGGUGGUGGGGGUCAAUGGACCUUCCCUGCUCUCAGGCCAUCCAGCUGCUGACCGGGCCAGGAUGCAGAGUAUCUUAGCUGCCCUACCAGUGGGCCUCUAUCAGUUUCUCCAGAAGAAAGUCACCAGCUGGUUCCAGUGAUAGGCAGAAGCAAGAAAGUCACCAGCUGGUUCCAGCGAUAGGCAGAAGCAUGAAGGCUUCCUUGUAUCCCUACUCUGAGAUGACUGCUUGCAGAGCCCCUGCUCGUUCAGUUUUAACACUGCCAGGUUUACUGGAUUUCUUUAAAAACGAAUAGAUAACACUCGAUGAGUAACAGGCGGAGAACACUCAGAAAGCUGUGUGACAUAAGGGAUCGGUGAAGCAGCUCCCUAUGACCCAGCCUGCCAGGAAGGGGCCCUCUCAGGGCUCUGAGGUAGGGAGCCGGAGCCUCCAUCAUUCCAGGUGCCAAUAUGGAGAUCAGUAAAUUAAAGAGAAGAUUAAAAACCAGAUGAAUGUCCCUCCAAAAUUCCAAUGAAGAGAAUGAGUGUCCAUCUCUAACACAGGCUAGCCACUUCUGCAUGCCGUUGAGGAGAUAAAUCAGCAGGCAGCAGCUGCACAUGUCAACUCCCUGAGUACCCAGCCAGUAGCAUCUGAAUUGUAGGACUUAACACUCAGUUAACUGUGGAUCCAGACGGUGUGCAGAUGAUACCUCAUGGCCAAUAAAAUUGAUGUAC